AUUCAAUUUUUGGAAGAGCUGUCAUCUUACCUUCAAAGGGAUAAAGAAUUCACAAAGGCUCAGUUGCCAGAAUAAAGCUUCACACGUCCUUGUCUCUAGCCUCUUAAAACCAGUCACCAGCAGAGGAACCAUCUCUCACUCUUCCUUUGGACUUUUGAGAAAAUGUACAGAUUUCCCUUUCCUGUUUACGUCUCCCAGCCAUUUGCAGAAACGCACGCGAAUUAUUCCACAGCACCAGAGACACCCUGUUCUCUCGGUAGAGUAGCUACAAUGGCACAGCUCUCUGGAAUACCAGGACCCUCUAAUCUAAUCUGGGCGCUCCACUGCCACUCUUGCCGGCCCCACAGUCUGCUCUCCACACAGAAAUCCCCAGGUAAGCUGGGCCCAGGGCACGUGCCUGCCAUCUCUGUAGUAAGUAGGCCAAGGCAGCAGAAUCGUGAGUCCAAGGCCAGUCUAUGCUACAUAUUGAGUACCUACAAAACAGACAAACAAAGAAACAAGCAACCACAAAAGCCCACCUGGCUUCCAGUGUCACUCGUGAAGAAAUUGGAAAUCUUCAUGCCAUGUUCUGGGGGAAGACCCUCUGGCUGGUUAGUCUUCAUGACAAUGGUGUUGCCAUCUCUUAUUGGUGUUUUUGGGAUUCUGUGGAGGGCCAUUUUUGCAAUAUAUAGUACACAACCAUAA
rnacentral:lncRNA from 1 species